CUUGAUCUUUUACAUGGUCUAAUGUGAUCAUGGUUUAUUUAUUCUGUUUUUAAGAACUUUUUAUAUUGUUCCUGUUUGAUCCUUUUACUACAAACUGGAAAGUCUGCUGUGAAUUCUUCUGUAGAAUUUGUCUUCAGUAAAUCGGAUAUGGAAGAACUUCAAGGAUUGUGCCUCGCCUUAUCUGAGAAGUUCCAAGGCACGAAUGACAGUAUGCUCCACUGAAGACAUCCAGUCUGUUCUCCUGUACCUUCCCCCCCACCUGCCCCCAUUGGUAUAGUUUAAAUUGAAGAGACCAGAGUUCUGCCAUAAUUGUGUUUUGGACAUUUUUUUAAAAAGAAAAAAAAAACCAGAUGUAGAAAACACCCUAAACUUUAUUUUAUAAAUAAUUUUAACCUGAAUAAAUGAGUGAGCUCAUGAAUAACAA